GUUGGGAACGGCCUCGCGUGAUGACGCUUCUCUCUCUGAUGGCUGUGGUGAUGAGGAUCAUCAAACCAAAGCCUCUAAGAAGUUGACUGAAGAGACCGUUCCUCC
rnacentral:snoRNA from 1 species